CACCUCUAGCAUAACAAGUAUUAGAGGCAUUGCCUGCCCAGUGACUAUAGUUAAACGGCCGCGGUAUCCUGACCGUGCAAAGGUAGCAUAAUCAUUUGUUCCUUAAUUAGGGACUAGUAUGAAUGGCUAAACGAGGGUUUAACUGUCUCUUAUUUUUGAUCAGUGAAAUUGACCUUCCAGUGAAGAGGCUGGAAUUUCAUAAUAAGACGAGAAGACCCUAUGGAGCUUAAAUUAACAAGCUUAAUUAUUACUUCUAACCCUAAUGGACUAAAACAAAAACUGUAAGCUUAAAAUUUUGGUUGGGGUGACCUCGGAGAACAAAAAACCCUCCGAACGAUUAUAACAUAGACCUACAAGUCAAAGUAACUAAAAUAUCCAAUUGACCCAAAAAUAACUUGAUCAACGGACCAAGUUACCCUAGGGAUAACAGCGCAAUCCUAUUUAAGAGUCCAUAUCGACAAUAGGGUUUACGACCUCGAUGUUGGAUCAGGACAUCCCAAUGGUGCAGAAGCUAUUAAUG
rnacentral:rRNA from 1 species